rnacentral:lncRNA from 1 species
CGCUUCCGCGUUGGUUGCAGAUACUAUGCAGGAAAUGCCACUGGACGGUGUGAGAGGUGCAACAGGAGCUGCAAAGCCUGCUGGGGCCCGCGGCCCACAGACUGCCUGUCUUAGGAUCCAUUUUUCUUUCUGCUCUGCUCCAAGGGAGAGUGUCAUCGCCCCUGCCUGCAGCACUACUACGCAGAGCAAAGCACGCAGACCUGUCAGAGGUGCCAUCCAACUUGCAAUAAAUGCAAAGAAUCAUUCAUCUUGGGGCAGUAGGUUGACUACAUAAAAAUGUCAGCGAGUGAGGAUGACAAGAUGAGAAAUCAGCUCCUUCCUCCUUCUGGGAGAAGACCAUCAACCACCCUUGCUGUCUAGCCACUGAGCUGACCUUCCUGAGCACUAUCUUGAUAAUAUUUUAAAAUAACUUCUUCCCAAGUGCUCCCCAAGUAGGUAUGAACAUAGCCAUCUCCAGAUUCAAGGUGGCUUCUGGGAUCACCUGUGUCUUGAUGCCCCCAAAUCUACUUCUCUUUCCCAAAGUUUUCCUGAGCUUCCUGUACAUCCAACUUCCUGUUAAUAUCUCUAAUUGGAUGUUCAGCAGACGACUGAGACUUGAAAUGUAAAUGCAU